rnacentral:rRNA from 1 species
UACAGAGGUGGCAAGCGUUGUUCGGAAUUACUGGGCGUAAAGGGCGUGUAGGCGGCUUUUUAAGUCAGGCGUGAAAUCCCCCGGCUUAACCUGGGAACUGCGUCUGAUACUGGGAAGCUAGAGUUCGGGAGAGGGAUGUAGAAUUCCAGGUGUAGCGGUGAAAUGCGUAGAUAUCUGGAGGAAUACCGGUGGCGAAGGCGGCAUCCUGGACCGAAACUGACGCUUAAGCGCGAAAGCUAGGGGAGCAAACGGG